UACACUGGAUGAUUGUUUUGUUCAUUCUGUGGUUGAAAUUACAGAUCACUGCAAUCAUGGAUCUCCUUCUUUAUCCUGCAGUUGCAGAGUUGGGUUAGGCAGCAGAACUGAAUUGUCUUGCCCUGGUACUACCACUGGUGCUACAGGUGGUACUCAUGCUGUUCACCACUGCACUGGACUGCCCUGCCACGUGUCACUUUGUCAAGGGCCUAGUGAGAGCUUAUGUGCUCACUGCAUCGCUGAGAAAGACUUGAGGAAUAAUUGGUCCCAGGAGAGUCAUAUGCCAGUGCCUUGAGAUUCCCCCUUCACACUGAGUAGUUGCCUUUGUUAUCUUCCCACUGCUGAUGUUAACCAGCAGAACAAGCACUGAACUGGAAUGUUUCUGUCAUAUUUUUCUUCGCCAAUCUAUUUUUGCUGUCCACCUUUUUGGAGUUUUGUUUGUGACUAAUGGCCUUACAAUGCUCGGAGCAAGAAGAGAACUGGGAGGUGAGCCUGCACUCUUCAGUGCCCUGAUGCUGUACAUUUGGAUCAAAACUCCAGAUCUCGAAUCUGUGGGUGACCUGCCACUGACGGGAGCUGAAGGCAGCGCACGAGCAGCCGGCCUGCAGGAGCUGGUGUUCCUGCCGCGGGGAGAAGCCUUUUCCAGUCCAGCAGGUAGGUGCACAUUGCAGCCAAAAACAGCCUCAGCAAAGCACUGCUGCUCCCUGAUCGCUGCUGCUCGGCCCCGAAGGGAUCAGGCAGUCACAGCGAGACUUGCAAGUCUAUUAAGAGGGAUCCUUGAGCGUUAUGGCCUUUCACUGGUGAAAUCAUAGCAGCAUUAAGCGAGAAAACAACUGAAAAAGGUUGUUCUAGAGUAGUUUCCUAGGUCUUUGGAUGUCUAAGCCUAAUUCACAGAUCAAAAUAAUGGAUAAAGGAGUGCUUAGGUGGGGGUUCUAAUGGAAAAGUAUCCUAGCAAAUC
rnacentral:lncRNA from 1 species